GCGGGAUCGCGAGGGCGCGAGCCGGGAAGGGCCCCGGCGCGGCGGGGCGGGCUGCCCCGGAGCUCGGCGGGGGUCGCGGCGGAGACAAGGCGGCCGCUGCGGGGAGAUGCCGCGCGAGGAAGUGGAUCGGGCGGGUACGCCGGGUGUGCGCACCUGCGCGCCGGGCAGCGGGCUCUAAACGAUCAGUGGGACAGGAA
rnacentral:lncRNA from 1 species